rnacentral:rRNA from 1 species
UACGAAGGGGGCUAGCGUUGCUCGGAAUCACUGGGCGUAAAGCGCACGUAGGCGGAUCUUUAAGUCAGGGUGAAAUCCUGGAGCUCAACUCCAGAACUGCCUUGAUACUGGGAUCUCGAGUCCGGGAGAGGUGAGUGGAACUCCGAGUGUAGAGGUGAAAUUCGUAGAUAUUCGGAAGAACACCAGUGGCGAAGGCGGCUCACUGGCCCGGUACUGACGCUGAGGUGCGAAAGCGUGGGAGCAACA